rnacentral:rRNA from 1 species
UUUGUCUUUAUGGCAAAUGUGAGAUGCAGUGUAUGGAAUGUCAAAUUUCUAGUAUGAGAAAUUAACGAUUUAAGUCCUUCUUAAAUGAGGCCAUUUACCCAAAGAGGGUGCCAGGCCCGUAUAACGUUAAUGAUUAUUAGAUGGCAUUUCCAAAGAGUCGUGUUGCUUGAUAGUGCAGCACUAAGUGGGUGGUAAACUCCAUCUAAAACUAAAUAUAACCAUGAGACCGAUAGUAAACAAGUACCGUGAGGGAAAGUUGAAAAGAACUCUGAAUAGAGAGUUAAAUAGUACGUGAAACUGCUUAGAGGUUAAGCCCGAUGAACCUGAAUAUCCGUUAUGGAAAAUUCAUCAUUAUGAUUUUAAUAUUUAUAAUAUUAUAAUAAUGGUGUGCAUUUUUUCCAUAAAGGACAUUGUAAUCUAUUAACAUUAAACAUUUAUUAUAUUUAUCAUAAGAUCAUUUGCGCAAGUUUAUUCAAAUUAUUUUGCUUGCAUUUUAAUAUCGAAUAAAUGCUUUUGAUUUGAUAAAGUGUUGAUAGAUUUAUUUUACAAAUACAGUGCUUAAAUAUAUGUAUAUAUAUUUUAUAAUAGCAUAUUGAUCAUUGAUUUUUAUGUUCAUUAUAUGCACUUGUAUGAUUAACAAUGCGAAAGAUUCAGGAUACCUUCGGGACCCGUCUUGAAACACGGACCAAGGAGUCUAACAUAUUUGCAAGUUAUUGGGAAUAAAUGAAACCUAAUGGCGUAAUUAACAUAACUUUUAUUAUAAAAAUGGGAUUAGUUUUUAGCGCUAUUUUAUUAUAGUCUAUUAAUUCAAUCCCGGGGCGUUCUAUACAGUUAUGUAUAAUAAUAUUUAUAUUAUUUAUACCUCUAACUAGAGCGUACCUUGAGCAUAUAUGCUGUGACCCGAAAGAUGGUGAACUAUACUUGAUCAGGUUGAAGUCAGGGGAAACCCUGAUGGAAGACCGAAACAGUUCUGACGUGCAAAUCGAUUGUCAGAAUUGAGUAUAGGGGCGAAAGACCAAUCGAACCAUCUAGUAGCUGGUUCCCUCCGAAGUUUCCCUCAGGAUAGCUGGUGCAUUUAAAAAUGAUGUAAAAUAAUCUUAUCUGGUAAAGCGAAUGAUUAGAGGCCUUAGGGUCGAAACGAUCUUAACCUAUUCUCAAACUUUAAAUGGGUAAGAACCUCACCUUUCUUGGUAUGAAGGUUGUGGUUGUGAUAUAAUGUGCCCAGUGGGCCACUUUUGGUAAGCAGAACUGGCGCUGUGGGAUGAACCAAACGUAAUGUUACGGUGCCCAAAUUAACAACUCAUGCAGAUACCAUGAAAGGCG